rnacentral:lncRNA from 12 species
AAGGACUUCACCCUACUUUCCUCCAGAGAGCAAUGAGGAGAGAAGAAACAGGAAUAACUUCUCAUGAGAAGCAGCCUUAAAUAAAGUCUGGAAUUAGUUCAUUAGUUCAUAUUCCAACUGUAGGGUCAGAUUUUAAUGACAAGGCCAACACCAGCCAGUAACUUCCAGUCAUAAUCACACAUCCAGAAAUAAAACAGGCUGUUGCAUGACUCCCAGCUUUCUGGGAAAUGUCCUUUUAAUCUGUCCAGCUGAAAGUCAUUUCAAGUCAUUUAGGGCUGUUGAUUCUCAGUGGAGCUGAGAUUUACUCAGCUAUUGGUCAGAUAUUUAACACAGCCAAGGCUGGACCUCCAGCAGUGUCAUUGUUUCACCUCUCUGACUGCUGAAAACUGGCUGGCCCCCAAAAUGCAGAAUGUUUUGGAAAGCCUGCUUGUCCUCUGCCCUCCCUGCUGAGGUGAAACCUUCCAGAAAACCCCCUGAAGCUCCUUUCUAGCCUUCAGCAUCUUCUGUAUCCUGCUCCAUCCCCAGUAUCCUGCUCCAUCCCCUGUAUCCUGCUCCAUCCCCUCUGCCCUGCUCCAUCCCCUCUGCCCUGCUCCAUCCCCUGUAUCCUGCUCCAUCCCCUCUGCCCUGCUCCAUCCCCUCUGCCCUCACCCCAGGCAGGACCUCCUGUCCCUUUUCUGGAAGUCCCUUUUCUGGAAGUCCCUUUUCUGGAAGUUCAUUUUCUGGAAGUUCCUUUUCCAAGACCCACAGCUUUGGCCAGGCUCUCGAGUCAUUCUGCUAUAAUAUUUCUGUAAUGACAAUUGCAGAG